rfam:Nitrosospira sp. Nsp11 genome assembly, contig: Ga0111721_101
UGUUCCCUGCGGUGUUUGUUUAGCCCUAUAUUCUUUGAACCAACUUUUUAAGAACUGGUUGCAAACCAUCGUGAUGCUGUUGUGCGAGUCCUCUAAGGAAGCGCCUGAUGCAUCCGGCUAGUGACCGCCUUGGACCCUAAGGUUCAAGAUAAAUGGGUUGACGGCAUCCGCGGGGACCUU